rnacentral:rRNA from 1 species
UACGUAGGGGGCAAGCGUUGUCCGGAAUCAUUGGGCGUAAAGCGCGUGUAGGCGGCCCGAUAAGUCCGCUGUGAAAGUCCAGGGCUCAACCCUGGGAUGCCGGUGGAUACUGUCGGGCUCGAGUCCGGAAGAGGAGUGUGGAAUUCCUGGUGUAGCGGUGAAAUGCGCAGAUAUCUGGAGGAACACCGGUGGCGAAGGCGGCAUCCUGGACCGGUAUUGACGCUGAGGCGCGAAAGCCAGGGGAGCAAACGGG